GCUCAGUUAGUAGAGCAUGGCGCUUGCAACGCCAGGGUUGUGAGUUCAAUUCCCAC
rnacentral:tRNA from 1 species